rnacentral:rRNA from 1 species
CCCUUAGAUGUCCUGGGCUGCACGCGCGCUACACUGAUGUGUCCAGUAAGCACCUAACCUCUUCCGAAAGGAACGGGUAACCUUUGCAAAGCACAUCGUGAUGGGGAUAGAUUAUUGCAAUUAUUAGUCUUGAACGAGGAAUUCCUAGUAAGCACAAGUCAUCAGCUUGUGUUGAUUCCGUCCCUGCCCUUUGUACACACCGCCCGUCGCUCCUACCGAUUGAAUGUUCCGGUGAGCUCUUCGGACUGCGCGGUCUGCAGUUUCUGCGUUCCGUGCGGAAAGUUGCGCAAACCUUAACAUUUAGAGGAAGGAGAAGUCGUAACA